rnacentral:misc_RNA from 1 species
CCGUACAACGGAGGUGCAAGGGCUGUCGCUGGCCUUCAAAGGUCGUGCACGCCCGGGCCCUCUCACAAUCCAUCUCACCCUUUGUGCAUCACCGCGUGGGUCCCCUUUGCGGGAGGGCUCACGUUUUAACAUAAAAACUCGAUACAGUGUAGAAUGUUUAUUUUUGCGGUCACACGCGAUCAAUA